AAGAGGAACAGAAGAAUGAAGGAAAUAAAAAACGAAGUUCGGACCUCAGUUAAAGGUAUUAUCGAUAAAAGAAUGAAGGCAAUGAAAGCAGGGAAUGCCGAUAAUAAUGAGGAUCUGUUAGGCAUAUUGCUUGAAUCAAAUUUCAAAGAAAUUGAACAGCACGGUAACAAGGAUUUUGGAAUGAGCAUCGAAGAAGUCAUCGAAGAAUGCAAGUUAUUCUAUUUUGCUGGCCAAGAAACUACAUCAGUCUUACUCGUGUGGACUCUGGUGUUGUUGAGUCGGUAUCAAGA
rnacentral:misc_RNA from 1 species